rnacentral:rRNA from 1 species
AAUAAUCCAGAGCUAGCAGAAGGUGACGGAUCGUAGAAGUUGUAUGAGAUUAACGGAUUUCUCAUGCAUCCAAGCGGUUCCAGGAAAUAACCUCUGCAUUGAGCCGUACCCGAAACCGACACAGGUGGGAAGGUAGAGUAUACCAAGGCGUUGAGAGAAGUAUGGUGAAGGAACUCGGCAAAUUGCACGCGUAACUUCGGGAUAAGCGUGGCCCAUUUUAGCGCAAGCUACUAUGGGCGGCACAAAAGAGGGGGUGGCGACUGUUUAUCAAAAACACAGGGCUCUGCUAAAUCACAAGAUGAUGUAUAGGGUCUGACGCCUGCCCGGUGCUGGAAGGUUAAGAAAAGCUGUUAACGCAGUGGAUUGAAGCCCCAGUAAACGGCGGCCGUAACGAUAACGGUCCUAAGGUAGCGAAAUUCCUUGUCGGGUAAGUUCCGACCCGCAUGAAUGGCGUAACGAUCUCCCCACUGUCUCCACCAUAUGCUCAGCGAAAUAGAACUCCCCGUGAAGAUGCGGGGUAGCCGCGGCUAGACGGAAAGACCCUAUGAACCUUUACUGUAACUUCGCAGUGGGUGCAGGAAUGAUUUGUGCAGCAUAGGCGGGAGACAUUGAAGCGUUGGCGUUAGCUGGCGUGGAGUCAACAGUGAGAUACCGCCCUAAUCGUUUUUGCAUUCUAACCGCACGCCUCACCGGCGUCGGGACCCUGCGUGGUGGGCAGUUUGACUGGGGCGGUCGCCUCCCAAAAAGUAACGGAGGCGCGCGAAGGUCGGCUUAGCACGGUCGGAAACCGUGCGUUAAGUGCAAUGGCAAAAGCCGGCCUGACUGCAAGGGGGACACCCCGAGCAGACACGAAAGUGGGCCAUAGUGAUCCGGUGGUUCUGCAUGGAAGGGCCAUCGCAAACGGAUAAAAGGUACUCUAGGGAUAACAGGCUGAUCGCAUCCAAGCGUCCAUAGCGACGAUGCGGUUUGGCACCUCGAUGUCGGCUCAUCACAUCCUGGGGCUGGAGCAGGUCCCAAGGGUAUGGCUGUUCGCCAUUUAAAGUGGUACGUGAGCUGGGUUCAAAACGUCGUGAGACAGUUUGGUCCCUAUCUACCGUGGCUGUUGGAGUGUUGAGGCAAGUUGAUCUUAGUACGAGAGGACCGGAUCGAACGCACCUCUGGUUUACCUGUUGUGGCGCCAGCCGCAUCGCAGGGUAGCCACGUGCGGACGAGAUAACCACUGAAAGCAUCUAAGUGGGAAGCUUCUGCCAAAACUAGCACUCCCAAUGAGGGACGUUGAAGACUACAACGUUGAUAGGUCGCGUGUGUAAGUGCAGCAAUGCAUUAAGCUAAGCGAUACUAAUGACCCGAUUGA